rnacentral:rRNA from 1 species
GACGAACGCUGGCGGCGUGCCUAAUACAUGCAAGUAGAACGCUGAAGGAGGAGCUUGCUUCUCAGGAUGAGUUGCGAACGGGUGAGUAACGCGUAGGUAACCUGCCUGGUAGCGGGGGAUAACUAUUGGAAACGAUAGCUAAUACCGCAUAAGAGUAGAUGUCGCAUGACAUUUGCUUAAAAGGUGCAAUUGCAUCACUACCAGAUGGACCUGCGUUGUAUUAGCUAGUUGGUGAGGUAACGGCUCACCAAGGCAACGAUACAUAGCCGACCUGAGAGGGUGAUCGGCCACACUGGGACUGAGACACGGCCCAGACUCCUACGGGAGGCAGCAGUAGGGAAUCUUCGGCAAUGGACGGAAGUCUGACCGAGCAACGCCGCGUGAGUGAAGAAGGUUUUCGGAUCGUAAAGCUCUGUUGUAAGAGAAGAACGAGUGUGAGAGUGGAAAGUUCACACUGUGACGGUAUCUUACCAGAAAGGGACGGCUAACUACGUG